rnacentral:misc_RNA from 1 species
GAUGAAGAACGUAGCGAAAUGCGAUAAGUAAUGUGAAUUGCAGAAUUCAGUGAAUCAUCGAAUCUUUGAACGCACAUUGCGCCCCCUGGUAUUCCGGGGGGCAUGCCUGUCCGAGCGUCAUUACAACCCUCAAGCUCAGCUUGGUAUUGGGCCCCGCCGACCCGGCGGGCCCUAAAGUCAGUGGCGGUGCCGUCCGGCUCCGAGCGUAGUAAUUCUUCUCGCUCUGGAGGUCCGGUCGUGUGCUCGCCAGCAACCCCCCAUUUUUUUCAGGUUGACCUCGGAUCAGGUAGGGAUACCCGCUGAACUUAAGCAUAUCAAUAAGCGGAGGA